rnacentral:tRNA from 1 species
GGUGAGAUGGCCGAGUGGUCUAAGGCGCUGGUUUUAGGACACGCAGCUCAGCGUGAAACGCACCAGUCCAGAAAUGGGCGUGGGUUCAAAUCCCACUCUCGCCA